rnacentral:misc_RNA from 1 species
GAUGAAGAACGCAGCGAAAUGCGAUAAGUAAUGUGAAUUGCAGAAUUCAGUGAAUCAUCGAGUCUUUGAACGCACAUUGCGCCCCCUGGUAUUCCGGGGGGCAUGCCUGUCCGAGCGUCAUUGCCGCCCUCAAGGACGGCUUGUGUGUUGGGCCCCCGCCCCCCGGCUUCGGGGGGCGGGCCCGAAAGGCAGCGGCGGCACCGCGUCCGGUCCUCGAGCGUAUGGGGCUUCGUCACCCGCUCUGUAGGCCCGGCCGGCGCCCGCCGGCGACCCCAAUCAAUCUUUCCAGGUUGACCUCGGAUCAGGUAGGGAUACCCGCUGAACUUAAGCAUAUCAAUAAGCGGAGGA